CUGCUUUGGCCUUCCAUUAGUCUUCCUCCCCACUGCAAGGAGCGAUGUCUUCGUCCUCCAGCCCAAAAGGUUGUUCUUGUUGUUGCCAGGUGAAAACAGUAGCAGUCUGCACCCUGAAUGGAGCCAAAAGGAAUGGAAGCUGCCUCAUCACAAGACUUGAAUAGCAGUUCCCCAACCCUAGACCUUCAUAGAGGACUUUUUCUCAUGUCUGCUGGAGACCACCUUCAACAUGGAACUGAAAAUGCCUCCUCUUAGCAUCUUUAUUUUUCUGUGUCAAAGCAGAUUAUUUUGCAUGUUUUAUCUUCAGACUAUUUACCCGUAAAUUAUGCACCAUGUUACUGUUGGUGAUUGUUGUAAACAUCAUUGUCAAUGUUUUUUUGUGUUGUUUACUUCAAUUUUCAAUAAAGACACAUUUUCUGUA